rnacentral:rRNA from 1 species
GACGAACGCUGGCGGCGUGCCUAAUACAUGCAAGUUGAGCGAUGAAGAUUGGUGCUUGCACCAAUUUGAAGAGCAGCGAACGGGUGAGUAACGCGUGGGGAAUCUGCCUUUGAGCGGGGGACAACAUUUGGAAACGAAUGCUAAUACCGCAUAACAACUUUAAACAUAAGUUUUAAGUUUGAAAGAUGCAAUUGCAUCACUCAAAGAUGAUCCCGCGUUGUAUUAGCUAGUUGGUGAGGUAAAGGCUCACCAAGGCGAUGAUACAUAGCCGACCUGAGAGGGUGAUCGGCCACAUUGGGACUGAGACACGGCCCAAACUCCUACGGGAGGCAGCAGUAGGGAAUCUUCGGCAAUGGACGAAAGUCUGGCCGAGCAACGCCGCGGGAGUGAAGAAGGUUUUCGGAUCGUAAAACUCUGUUGGUAGAGAAGAACGUUGGUGAGAGUGGAAAGCACAUCAAGUGACGGUAACUACCCAGAAAGGGACGGCUAACUACGUG